CAAGUUAAGAGACUAACUUAUAAUAUAUUUUUAUUAAGAAACUAAACCAAAAUAUUAAAUUAAUUUAACGAACUAACAUAUGUAUUAAACCUAAAAUAUUUCUAUCCUACUCAAAUCCGUUGCUUGGUACACCAAAAGACUAAAAAAAAAAUUUAAACUUAUUACUAAUCCUAUUCAAUCAUCCAUUUAAUUCUUGGUUAGAUAUGAUAGAAUAAUUAAAAAAAAUGUUAUUG
rnacentral:lncRNA from 1 species